GCUGGGCGCAGUGGCUCACGCCUGUAGUCCCAGCUACUUGGGAGGCUGAGGCAGGAGGAUCACUUGUGCCCAGAGGUUGAGGCUGCAGUGAGCUGUGAUUGCAGCACUGCACUCCAGCCUGGGUGACAGAGUGAGAUUCUGUCUCUA
rnacentral:SRP_RNA from 1 species